AUUGAACGCUGGCGGCAGGCCUAACACAUGCAAGUCGAACGGUAACAGGAAGAAGCUUGCUUCUUUGCUGACGAGUGGCGGACGGGUGAGUAAUGUCUGGGAAACUGCCUGAUGGAGGGGGAUAACUACUGGAAACGGUAGCUAAUACCGCAUAACGUCGCAAGACCAAAAAGGGGGACCUUCGGGCCUCUUGCCAUCGGAUGUGCCCAGAUGGGAUUAGCUAGUAGGUGGGGUAACGGCUCACCUAGGCGACGAUCCCUAGCUGGUCUGAGAGGAUGACCAGCCACACUGGAACUGAGACACGGUCCAGACUCCUACGGGAGGCAGCAGUGGGGAAUAUUGCACAAUGGGCGCAAGCCAGAUGCAGCCAUGCCGCGUGUAUGAAGAAGGCCUUCGGGUUGUAAAGUACUUUCAGCGGGGAGGAAGGGAGUAAAGUUAAUACCUUUGCUCAUUGACGUUACCCGCAGAAGAAGCACCGGCUAACUCCGUG
rnacentral:rRNA from 1 species